GACGAACGCUGGCGGCGUGCUUAACACAUGCAAGUCGAACGAAGUGGCGAACGGGUGAGUAACGCGUAAUCAACCUGCCCUUCAGAGGGGGACAACAGUUGGAACCGACUGCUAAUACCGCAUACUGAAGGAGGGGCUUGCGUCUGAUUGGCUAGUUGGGGGGGUAACGGCCCACCAAGGCGAUGAUAAGUAGCGGGUCUGAGAGAAGGACCGGCCACAUGGGAACUGGGACACGCCCCAGACUCCUCGGGGGGGCAGCGUUGGGGAAGCUUCCGAAAUGGACGAAAGCCUGACGAGGCAACGCCGCGUGGUGAAUGAGGGCCUUCGGGUUGUAAAGUUCUUUAAUUGGGGACGAAAGACCGGAAUAGAAAGCCACGGCUAACUACGUGCCAGCAGCCGCGGUAAUAC
rnacentral:rRNA from 1 species